rnacentral:rRNA from 1 species
AUGUGACGGUUCCUGUUAGCAGGGAUUGGUUAAAGCAGCAAUGCGCUUUUAGAUUGGUCCAUGGCUGAUUAGCUAGUUGGUGGGGUAAAGGCCUACAAAGGCGACGAUCAGUAGCCGGCCUGAGAGGGUGAACGGCCACAAUGGAACUGAGACACGGUCC